CCGAUUGCAAAACAGAGUUGGCGCCACUCGAAUUCUAGCGGUUAGAAUUCGAUCCGUUUUCGGUUCGAUUUCCAUCCCCCUGCUCGAUUGCUCGAAAACAGACGAUAUUUUUCGCAUUGCUGCGAUGAACUAAACGAAACACGAGCAGUUUUCGAUCGCAGCAAUCCGGGUGCGUGUUUUGUUUUGGUGCAUGCGUGAUUGUUGUGAAAUUGUGUUUUUCUACAUUUUUUGAUUCUCAGCGAGUCGGGUACCGCUACGCCUUCAAAUCUUCCAUCAUGUUCCGGUGUUGCUUUGGAUAAGGAGGAAAUGGAACAAAAUUUUCCUGCUCCAAUGACGCUGCAUGGUGAGAAACAAAUUAGCCAGAAGGCCCGGGAUGUCACCCCAUAGUGCUUGCCCUUGCUGUUCCUAGCCUAACGGUGUGAUGUCGUGAACGCAGAAAUCUGACUUAAGCACACCAACAAUGUGACCAGGCAGAUGGUUGGAUUUUGGAGCAAGCAGGGUUCGUUCCGGUGUUGCCACACCGGAAGCUUCCAGAACAGAUGUGUCGAAUGUUGCUCAAAUUCAAAGCGGAUCUACACCCCGUCCCGUUGAUAAUCCGGUUGGUGUGGAGUUGAUUUCAUGCCGCCAGAAGAAAAAAAGGUCCCCUUUUGUAAUCCGUCACCACUACGGAACUGCCUAGUUUAGUGUUACGAGGAAUCCAAAGGUAGAAUAGAAAUAACUUCCGAUUGUACGAUCUUGAUUCGGUCGCGCAGUACACCAGAUUUUGGUACAAUUGCCCCCAAGUAUUUUUGGAAGUGCUUUCCGACGACGAAGCCGCAGUUGGGGGUGGACGAAUUCAGCAUGUACCAAACAUUGCAGCGUUCCAGAUAGCCUAGCUUAUGCCAUUCGAGGGUCAUGCGGGGUAGCAUGAAAUAUUACCAGAUCGUGGAAAAUACAUAUACCCCGAGUUUCAUAAAGGCGGACCCAUUCACAAAAAUCUGACAACAUUAAAAAAAAACCGAGCUCAUGAAGGCAGUUAUGCCUCCUAGGACCCGUCACAUUAGCAUCAGCAAAAAUCGUUAAUGUUGGCCGUGAUCGAUUGGAUUAGGUGAGCAGAUGUUUUUUGACCCACCGGGCAACAACGAACGGAUUUACCUAACCAAGGAAAUUUAAUACCGGAAUCAUCAUGUUCAAAAAAUGUUUAUCCGGUCGUCGAAUGACACGAUUAGUGACACCGUACUAAAGACGCUGUGCGCAAUAUACUGUCUGGUUGCAGAAUUGAUUAUUUUUUCUAUUUAAUACUAAUGUUUGGAUGAAAAUCUAAAAUUGGUUAUGCUUGCAAGUCAAACAGAUCAUCAUAACAAAGCGUACCUUUUUUAGCAUCUGAUUAGCUAUGAAGGGAUGAAAGCUGCUUCAAACUACGAAGCUUGGUAGGAAACGAAAAAGCCGAACUAUACGUUCUCGUGACUAAUAACGUUUUGGAUGAAUCAUUUUUCGGAGAUGCUUCUCGGUUAAAUUUCGGCAUACCGGGACAUUCGGCCACGGACUGUCGUACCGGUUCCACCGUUUCAUUCAUACGAUUUAAGGUUAAUGAAACCUUCCAUGAAAUUGCACUACCUAGAGAAACACGACGGGUGUGUCGAUAGAUCGAACAUUGCCGCAGACACAGCUGGUCAAUGGACCCUAUGAUCUCGAUAUCAGCCCUUAGAACUGGCAGAAAAACAAACAAGUUAAAGUUAUGGCGGCUUCAUCUGCUUCAACAAGUACUACAUUGUACUAUAUACAAUAUAGCAAAAUUUCAUCCAGCUCAACUAGGAGAUGCAACAUCUAUCUGGCUUUCCCCUAGGUGAAGUCAUCAAGUAAUAAGUCUUCUAAUGGUGCUAACAGUUAACUGUUAUACCGGUGGUGAACAUGAACAUAAGGAAAAUUCGUUACGAUGAUGUUUUUGCCUGCUGGAAAUAAGGUUGGCAAAAGGCGCAUCUUGGCCCGUCGAGAAUCGUCGAGGGAAAACUUAUAAUCUGCCAUCUUCCGUGGCUUCCUGGUGGAAGAAAACAAAUGUGGCAAAGAGGUUAAUCAACCGAUAAAACUUCGGAAAAGCAAUUAAUUGUUGUGUGGAGCCCCGAGACAAUUGCUAAGCAAUGACAAAUUGCAACUUAACAUAAAAUAUUUUCUGGCUAGGAAAAAUGUACAUUCUACAAUAAUAAGGCAGGAAGUGCAUUUUCGUGUACUUAUAUUUUAGGCACCAUUAAAUUUGUAGGAUUCAAGAAUCGCGAAGAAGAACAGCACGGCUAAGCAUUUCAAUCGAGACUAAUAUAUUCAGGCAGAAGGACAAAGAUUCAAGAUUUCUCAACAGCAAUUCUUUAUUACCAAACAAAUGAUUUGAAUUACUUCUUUAAAUAUUGGUAUACUACUUACAACUGAGUUAUAAUGGAUUGUAUUCGUAAAUUGUAUGUAAAUAAAAAAAAAUUGGAAAAUAAAAUAAAUUCUAAAA